UACGUAGGGUGCAAGCGUUGUCCGGAAUUAUUGGGCGUAAAGAGCGUGUAGGCGGCCCGAUUAGUCCGCUGUGAAAGUCCAGGGCUCAACCCUGGAAUGCCGGUGGAUACUGUCGGGCUAGAGUCCGGAAGGGGCGAGUGGAAUUCCUGGUGUAGCGGUGAAAUGCGUAGAUAUCAGGAGGAACACCGGUGGCGAAGGCGGGUCUCUGGGCCGAUACUGACGCUGAGGAGCGAAAGCAUGGGUAGCGAACAGG
rnacentral:rRNA from 1 species